GUUGUAUGGUUAAGUGACUAAGCGUACACGGUGGAUGCCUUGGCAGUCAGAGGCGAUGAAAGACGUAGUAACUUGCGAUAAGCCCAGAUUAGGUAGUAACAACCAUUUGAGUCUGGGAUUUCUGAAUGGGGAAACCCACUUACAUAAGUAAGUAUCAUUAACUGAAUACAUAGGUUAAUGAGGCGAACCGGGGGAACUGAAACAUCUAAGUACCCCGAGGAAAAGAAAUCAACCGAGAUUCCGAAAGUAGCGGCGAGCGAAAUUGGACUAGCCCUUAAGCUUUACACGCGUUAGACGAACGGUCUGGAAAGUCCGACGAUACAGGGUGAUAGUCCCGUAGUUGACGACGUGUGUUCAGUGAAAUCGAGUAGGGCGGGACACGUGAUAUCCUGUCUGAAUAUGGGGGGACCAUCCUCCAAGGCUAAAUACUACUGACUGACCGAUAGUGAACCAGUACCGUGAGGGAAAGGCGAAAAGAACCCCUGUGAGGGGAGUGAAAUAGAACCUGAAACCGUGUACGUACAAGCAGUAGGAGCAGGCUUUGUCCUGUGACUGCGUACCUUUUGUAUAAUGGGUCAGCGACUUAUAUUCAGUGGCAAGGUUAACCAUCUAGGGGAGCCGUAGGGAAACCGAGUCUUAACUGGGCGUUCAGUCUCUGGAUAUAGACCCGAAACCAGGUGAUCUAGCCAUGGGCAGGUUGAAGGUUGAGUAACAUCAACUGGAGGACCGAACCGACUAAUGUUGAAAAAUUAGCGGAUGACUUGUGGCUAGGGGUGAAAGGCCAAUCAAACCUGGAGAUAGCUGGUUCUCCCCGAAAGCUAUUUAGGUAGCGCCUCGGACGAAUACUACUGGGGGUAGAGCACUGUUAAGGCUAGGGGGUCAUCCCGACUUACCAACCCUUUGCAAACUCCGAAUACCAGUAAGUACUAUCCGGGAGACACACGGCGGGUGCUAACGUCCGUCGUGGAGAGGGAAACAACCCAGACCGCCAGCUAAGGUCCCAAAUUACUACUAAGUGGGAAACGAUGUGGGAAGGCUCAGACAGCCAGGAUGUUGGCUUAGAAGCAGCCAUCAUUUAAAGAAAGCGUAAUAGCUCACUGGUCGAGUCGGCCUGCGCGGAAGAUGUAACGGGGCUAAGUAGUAAACCGAAGCUGCGGCAAUAUACUUUUGUAUAUUGGGUAGGGGAGCGUUCUGUAAGCGGUUGAAGGUGUGUGGUAACGCAUGCUGGACGUAUCAGAAGUGCGAAUGCUGACAUGAGUAACGAUAAAGGGGGUGAAAAACCUCCUCGCCGGAAGACCAAGGGUUCCUGUCCAACGUUAAUCGGGGCAGGGUAAGUCGACCCCUAAGGCGAGGCCGAAAGGCGUAGUCGAUGGGAAACGGGUUAAUAUUCCCGUACUUCUUACAAUUGCGAUGGGGGGACGGAGAAGGCUAGGUGGGCCUGGCGACGGUUGUCCAGGUUCAAGUGCGUAGGCUUAAGAGUUAGGUAAAUCCGGCUCUUUUUAAGGCUGAGACACGACGUCGAGCACCUACGGGUGUGAAGUCAUUGAUGCCAUGCUUCCAGGAAAAGCCUCUAAGCUUCAGAUUGUAAGGAAUCGUACCCCAAACCGACACAGGUGGUCGGGUAGAGAAUACCAAGGCGCUUGAGAGAACUCGGGUGAAGGAACUAGGCAAAAUGGUACCGUAACUUCGGGAGAAGGUACGCUCUUGAUGGUGAAGUCCCUCGCGGAUGGAGCUAUUGAGAGUCGCAGAUACCAGGUGGCUGCAACUGUUUAUUAAAAACACAGCACUGUGCAAAAUCGUAAGAUGACGUAUACGGUGUGACGCCUGCCCGGUGCCGGAAGGUUAAUUGAUGGGGUUAGACUUCGGUCGAAGCUCUUGAUCGAAGCCCCGGUAAACGGCGGCCGUAACUAUAACGGUCCUAAGGUAGCGAAAUUCCUUGUCGGGUAAGUUCCGACCUGCACGAAUGGCGUAAUGAUGGCCACGCUGUCUCCACCCGAGACUCAGUGAAAUUGAAAUCGCUGUGAAGAUGCAGUGUACCCGCGGCUAGACGGAAAGACCCCGUGAACCUUUACUACAGCUUGGCACUGAACAUUGACCCUACAUGUGUAGGAUAGGUGGGAGGCUUUGAAGCACGUACGCCAGUAUGUGUGGAGCCGUCCUUGAAAUACCACCCUUGUAGUGUUGAUGUUCUAACGUCGACCCCUAAUCGGGGUUGCGGACAGUGCCUGGUGGGUAGUUUGACUGGGGCGGUCUCCUCCCAAAGAGUAACGGAGGAGCACGAAGGUGGGCUAAUCACGGUUGGACAUCGUGAGGUUAGUGCAAUGGCAUAAGCCCGCUUGACUGCGAGAAUGACAAUUCGAGCAGGUGCGAAAGCAGGUCAUAGUGAUCCGGUGGUUCUGAAUGGAAGGGCCAUCGCUCAACGGAUAAAAGGUACUCCGGGGAUAACAGGCUGAUACCGCCCAAGAGUUCAUAUCGACGGCGGUGUUUGGCACCUCGAUGUCGGCUCAUCACAUCCUGGGGCUGAAGUCGGUCCCAAGGGUAUGGCUGUUCGCCAUUUAAAGUGGUACGCGAGCUGGGUUUAGAACGUCGUGAGACAGUUCGGUCCCUAUCUGCCGUGGGCGUUGGAAGAUUGAAGGGGGCUGCUCCUAGUACGAGAGGACCGGAGUGGACGAACCUCUGGUGUUCGGGUUGUGUCGCCAGACGCAUUGCCCGGUAGCUAAGUUCGGAAUCGAUAACCGCUGAAAGCAUCUAAGCGGGAAGCGAGCCCUGAGAUGAGUCUUCCCUGAUACUUUAAGUAUCCUAAAGGGUUGUCGGAGACUACGACGUUGAUAGGUCAGGUGUGUAAGUGCUGUGAGGCAUUGAGCUAACUGAUACUAAUUGCCCGUGAGGCUUAACCAUACAACACCCAAGGGGUUU
rnacentral:rRNA from 1 species